GUGCUUGAUUCAGCAGCACAUAUACUAAGAUUGGAAGGACACAGAGAAGAUUAGCAUGGCCCCUGCGCAAGGAUGACACGCAAUUCAUGAACGUUCCAUAUUUUU
rnacentral:snRNA from 1 species